UACAGAGGGUGCAAGCGUUAAUCGGAAUUACUGGGCGUAAAGCGUGCGUAGACGGUAGCGUAAGUCGGGUGUGAAAGCCCCGGGCUCAACCUGGGAAUGGCAUUCGAGACUGCUCUGCUAGGGUGCGGAAGAGGGGAGCGGAAUUUCCGGUGUAGCGGUGAAAUGCGUAGAUAUCGGAAGGAACACCAGUGGCGAAAGCGGCUCCCUGGUCCAGCACAGACGUUCAGGCACGAAAGCGUGGGGAGCAAACAGG
rnacentral:rRNA from 1 species